CCUACGGGAGGCAGCAGUGAGGAAUAUUGGUCAAUGGACGAGAGUCUGAACCAGCCAAGUAGCGUGAAGGAUGACUGCCCUAUGGGUUGUAAACUUCUUUUAUAUGGGAAUAAAAUGUUCCACGUGUGGGAUUUUGUAUGUACCAUAUGAAUAAGGAUCGGCUAACUCCGUGCCAGCAGCCGGGGUAAUACGGAGGGACCGGGAGUUAUCCGGAUUUAUUGGGUUUAAAGGGAGCGUAGAUGGAUUGUUAAGUCAGUUGUGAAAGUUUGCGGCUCAACCGUAAAAUUGCAGUUGAAACUGGCAGUCUUGAGUACAGGAGAGGUGGGCGGAAUUCGGGGUGUAGCGGUGAAAUGCUUAGAUAUCACGAAGAACUCCGAUUGCGAAGGCAGUUCACUGGACUGCAACUGACACUGAGGCUCGAAAGUGUGGGUAUCAAACAGGAUUAGAUACCCUUGUAGUC
rnacentral:rRNA from 1 species